ACGAACGCUGGCGGCGUGCUUCACACAUGCAAGUCGAACGGAAAGGCCCUGCUUUUGUGGGGUGCUCGAGUGGCGAACGGGUGAGUAACACGUGAGUAACCUGCCCUUGACUUUGGGAUAACUUCAGGUAACUGGGGCUAAUACCGGAUAGGAGCUCCUGCUGCAUGGUGGGGGUUGGAAAGUUUCGGCGGUUGGGGAUGGACUCGCGGCUUAUCAGCUUGUUGGUGGGGUAGUGGCUUACCAAGGCUUUGACGGGUAGCCGGCCUGAGAGGGUGACCGGCCACAUUGGGACUGAGAUACGGCCCAGACUCCUACGGGAGGCAGCAGUGGGGAAUAUUGCACAAUGGGCGGAAGCCUGAUGCAGCAACGCCGCGUGCGGGAUGACGGCCUUCGGGUUGUAAACCGCUUUCGCCUGUGACGAAGCGUGAGUGACGGUAAUGGGUAAAGAAGCACCGGCUAACUACGUG
rnacentral:rRNA from 1 species